rnacentral:rRNA from 2 species
UACGUAGGGGGCAAGCGUUGUCCGGAUUUACUGGGCGUAAAGAGCGUGUAGGCGGCCAAGCAGGUCCGUUGUGAAAACUGGAGGCUUAACCUCCAGACGUCGACGGAAACCGCGUGGCUAGAGUCCGGAAGAGGAGAGUGGAAUUCCUGGUGUAGCGGUGAAAUGCGCAGAUAUCAGGAAGAACACCAAUGGCGAAGGCAGCUCUCUGGGACGGUACUGACGCUGAGACGCGAAAGCGUGGGGAGCGAACAGG